AACACAGCCUGAGCGCGGCCAGCCUACAGCUUCCUGCUGCUGUUGCAAGCAGGCACAGACCACGACGGUUUCACUCAGGAGGUUGAUACCAGGCCUGGAUCUUCUGGAAAUUGUUUUUGAGGUUGCAGCUACCAGGAUUUCAAGAGCUGACCCACUGAAUCCAAAGAAGGUACAGCCACAUGGAGCUCAUGGAAGAGAUGAUAGCAGCAGGGAAAUUGAAGCCGUAUUCCUGUGCAAGUUGUGUAUGUUUCCCUUUGGGUCAGCUUCCUGUAGUGCAUCAACACCAGCCAGCUUCUCCCGUCCAUGAGCCGGCUACACUGUACAGUAACGCAACAGUGCUGACAUAUAUCCACAUUAUUCCAAAAAGUGAUUUUUUGCCAAUGAAUCUUUCUUCUUGUGAACAGGACACAAGCAAUUCCGUUAUCUCUGCACCAUGUUUGUAUCUCAGCUAAAGAAAUAGGCUGGGGGUAUGUGUUGUGAUUUGCUGUAGCAAGCAAGACAGAAGCAGCUUCUUUGAAGCAGCUUCUUUGACCCUACUUUGAAUUACAUAGAUUACAUUAGUUUCACAGGUCUGGACUAAGGUAUCAAUACAUAGAACCUCCAAAUGAUGGCAUGCGUUGGUCUAGAAGUGUGUGCAUGAAUGACUCUAUUCAUUUCUUUACCUUAGGAUGUGUUAUCUUUCAGUGAGCAGACAGGAGACUAUUAAAUAAUCAACAAAAUAAAAUUCCCUGUUGGAGCUAGACACAAUUAAUUCUUUUUCUCUAAUCUACAGUAACUGAUAACACAAGGAAAUUAUUUAUUGUCUGACAUAUUCUGCCCCCUGAUUCAACUUGUCACUUGUAAUGUACGCACCUCAGAAAAACUGCAUUUCAAGAGAAGAGUUUUGAAGAUGAUAAUCCAAGUUAACUCCAAUCUCCAGGAGAGGGAGGAAUUGUAAAAACAAGAAGCAUAUGGAAGAAUUCACAAUAAGAGAACAGUGGGAGAGUAGAAAGUGGGGUAGGAAGAGCAGAAGGAGGAAGAUUAAGGAGGAGGGAGGACAGCUGAUCCUUGCCAGUGGGUAGAAAUGAUUGCCAUGCUCUCAUCAUGGUCCAAAUUCCCAUUUCACUCCUGUGAUGACUUCUCACACGCUCUGUGUUUUAUUCACACAUUUUGUAAAUAGAAACAGUAUUUAACUCACUUACAGGAAAAUGUUAAAGAAGAAAUGGCUGAUCCCCACUUUCUUUUUUGAGGUGAAUUUUCAAAGCAGAUUAUACAAGUUUUAACACCGUGCCUACCACCACAGUAUAUAAAAAAGUCAAAGCAGUGUACGAAGUAACAUGACUAAUAUCUACCACAUGCUGUUCUUUUUGUUGUUUUUCUCUCCCUAAUGGAAAAAAUGAGUGCUUGGGAGUUUUCAUCCUUUUUCUGUUGAAACAAAACUCGUCCAUCCUACUGGGUCUGUAUUAGAGGAGACAGGUCACAGAGUUGCACUUUUCUCCCAAGAAGAGGGCAGCGAGGUCUGCAGUGGCUGUUCUGCUUGAUGGGGAUUUGUCCUCUAAUCUGGGGUUACUCAGAGCAGCUCUGACUUCUGCAUAAGUGAAAUUUUGCCCUAUGGUAGAGAUUUCUGCAGUCAGCUUCAAGCCUCUUCCUGGGUUUUCCAGAGAGGAAGGGACGGUGUAGAGAGGGGAAUAGGGUCCCUGGGAAAUGAGUGGUUAGGGGACCACCCUCCUCUGCUCUUUGUUAAUGUUUCCUAAAGACUCGCAGUUUUGUGCUCAGACAUGUUGUUAUUUUCCAUGCAGCUAGAGAAGAAGACACUUAUGCAAGGUGAGGCCACCAUUUGUCAAGGUGGGACACAUUCCUUCACCAGCCAGAGACAGCAGAAAGUUUUACUUGAGUGGCUUGUACAAUGAUAGAUGUAAUCACUAACUAAUAUGCUUGUACCAGUAAAACACAGGACUGCACCACAUCUGCAAAUUCGUGAAGUAUCUCCUUCACAGAUCAGUGACACCUCUUUUUCUGAGGUUCAUUUUCAGACAGCUAUUUUUGGCCCAUCAUCUGAUCUUGUCCAACACUGAGACCAACUGAGACUGUUGGUAUAUUAGAUAUCUUUUUGUUAAAUCGUGUUUACAGGAAUAUUGCUGGUGCUUGCUGUCAUGGCAUCUCGUGUGAUAUCUUUUGGGCUGCUUGAAGAUAUUGAUUUGGGCUGCUGAAGACACUGGUCAUUGUAAAACUGUAAAAAUACUCCUGCCACUAGAGUUAGUGGUGGGUGAGCAAUAUGAUGAAAAAAGCAACACCUAAGUCACCUGCAAUCACCUAAAACUGGUUUACUUAUGGACUGGAUUUAGUUAAAGGAUUAUUCAAAGUGAAAUGGAAGGUAGAAAUAAAAAUUAAAUCUAUAACAUAGCCUUUGAAAAACAUUGGCUGUGAACUAUCAGUGGAUGGGAAGAUUUUCUCAGCAGAAUUUGGGGGAGGUUUCACCUGGAAAAUGGUGAGAUUUAUGACAUUCAUUAAAGACAGUUUACCAAGAGUCAGGCUGCCACGGUUGGAUUAGCCCAGAGCAAGACUCCAGCAAUCACCUCUAUUUGGAAGCUCUACAGGGAAUUUAACAAAUCCUAGGCUGAUUAAACUGUGCUGAAAAUUUUCUGCUAGUUUCAUGGGAAAAAUAAUUUUGUUCUCCUUGAUCACAGUCCUGGUUCAUACCAUUUUUACCAGGGAGAUGCCCAGAUCUCCCAGAAAAUGAAGGAGUAAUGCAACAGAGCUGGGUGGGCUGGAAAGCAAUCUUUCCUUGUGUGUCUUCACUGGAUAAACUUGCCCAGUACCAUUAUUUCCUCAUAAGAGUGCAUGAACCUCUUCUAUGCACCCUGUUGAAAUUAGCUCUCAAACAGCAUUACUCAUAAUAUAAGUGAUUCUCAGACUUUUUUUUUCUUACAUGUUAUUGUAUUGCCCAGUGCUAAAUCUACAGGGGAGAGCACACACCUGAGCUGCUACAUCAUUAUGUGGAAUGACUUCCAGAAAUCUGUGUUUCCAAGAACAAGAUAAACUGGCGUGCCAAUUUUUCAGCUGUUUGGAUAAGUUUUCUGUGAUGUCUUGGCUAGUCACUGAUUGAAGAGUAGUGCUAUAAAAAUAUACAUCAUUGGAAGAUGGCACAUUAAAAAGGUGUUUUAGUUUGUCAUAAAAUAUUGUGCUUUUUCUUCUAUUCUUUUCAAAUGCUUUCUUAAAUCAAGAGCCUGUAAUUAGGUAAGUUAAUGUAAUGCAAUGCAAUGGAAUAAUGAGAUGAUGACGGUCUCAGGCUCAUAGCCAAAGCCUAUAGUCAUAGACUAUAUCUAUUUUUAUUUCAGAAAUGACUAACAGCUCAGUUCAUGUCUUUCCCAGCUGUGGUUGUACAGCUGAAUGGGGAUAAAACAGAUGUUCAUAAUAUAAAAACUUCCUCUGAUAGUUCAUGAACUCACAAGUGUGGAUGGUAGGAGAGUUGUCUGUUUCUAUCACAAAUAGGAAAUACCACCAAAUACAGCUGGAGACCCAGGCCAGAAACUGCUUUACUGCAGAACUGUUCCAGGGGCACUUCCCAGCACGCGGGCAAAUCCCAAGACAUAGGAUCAUACGUUUCUAUUCACGUUGAAGCUGAAGCUCCUUCUGGAUAGAUUACCCUGACCUCACGCAGUAAUCAGCCAUCUACAAAGUCUGGAUACACUUCCAUUCCUCCAAGGUCCUGUUCUCUACCCACAUGACAGCAAUUGUCAGAAUAAGAAAUAUGGAAAUUUAAAGCAACAAAAGCCUACACCAAGACAAAGCUCCAACAAAAGCCUACUAAAUCACACAGUGAAACCCUCCGAGUUAUGAAGCAUGGAUUUUAUGUGUACUUAAAAAAUCAUUCUCUGUCUAAUCUCACAAUGAAUGCCCCUUCAUCUUCUUGCUAAAUUGAACAUCCAAAGGUUGGAACUUCUAAUAUAGAGAAUAACUUUGGAAAAUUCCUGGUUAAAAACAGUAAUACUGAUUAACUUGGUAUACAGCCAUUUGGGUUUACUUUACUUGUAUACCACAAAUGUGGUUUCUAAUACAGAGCAAAAACUCUACACUGAUUGAUUCAGCUAUUGUGGAGUACAUAAUGGGCUAUAUGACUUGGUUUCUGUUAAAUAAAAACUCUGUGUAAAAAGUUUUAUAGUUUCUUCAUUUUAGGAAUUUAUAUCUUCAUUCAAAUGUGAAUGUUUAUGAGCUUUAAGCAUUUAUUUUUAAAGAUAUUUCACUGUCACUCUAUUACUAUUUGCGGCUAGAACUGAAAUUUUCAGAAGAAUGUGUGAACAGCUGAUCAUGUUGUGUUUCCUGUAUGUCCCGAGCCAAGGUACACUGAGAUCUUGCAAAAUAAAUAAAUAAAUAAAAUAGUCUUUUGUGAAAUUUUAGAACAAUCUUACACAUCACAGAAGAUGUAAAAUUGCCUUAGAUUUGAUUGGAAACCCCUGUAAUCAGACAUCUAUUAACUUUCAAUGUUAAUUUGUUACCAAUAAAGAUCUAGGAUUUGCAUGCU